CCGCGUCCGAUUAGCUUGUUGGUGAGGUAAUGGCUCACCAAGGCAACGAUCGUUAGCUGGUCUGAGAGGAUGGCCAGCCACACUGGAACUGAGACACGGUCCAGACUCCUACGGGAGGCAGCAGUGGGGAAUCUUGCACAAUGGGCGAAAGCCUGAUGCAGCGACGCCGCGUGGGGGAUGAAGCAUUUCGGUGUGUAAACCCCUUUCGACCGGGAAGAAUGCCUCGCAAGAGGACUGACGGUACCGGUAUAAGAAGCCCCGGCUAACUACGUGCCAGCAGCCGCGGUAAGACGUAGGGGGCCAGCGUUGUUCGGAAUUACUGGGUGUAAGGGGUUCGUAGGCGGUGUGGCAAGUUGGGAGUGAAAUCUCUGGGCUUAACCCAGAGGCUGCUUCCAAAACUGCUGUGCUUGAGUGUGGGAGAGGUGCGUGGAAUUGCAGGUGUAGCGGUGAAAUGCGUAGAUAUCUGCAGGAACACCCGUGGCGAAAGCGGCGCACUGGGCCACAACUGACGCUGAGGAACGAAAG
rnacentral:rRNA from 1 species